AUGUGGCUGCUCAAGAUGACACAGUGUCCCUCUCUGCUGUAGAGAUGUCCACAGCAGAAACUACAGAGGAGCACCCAUCUCCAUUCGCCAACAUUUCGGCUAUCUAGUGUGACCACAGCUAUCUUCCCACUCGGUUUGAUGGUCUGGUGGAAAAUGCUCUGGUCUACAUAGCAGGGUUUGUAGUCCGGCAGAUUCUCCGAAAGCUGUCCUGUGAUGUGUGCCGUGCAAGCUUGGUCAGAGAUGCUGUACCAUCAUCAUUUGAUGAGAGCUACCACUGAAAAACAACGGCGGCUUAGUAAUUCCAUCACAUGGCACAGUGAAGGUGCUAAGAGCUGCAGAAAGGGUCAUUCGCCAGGCUUCAACAAAGCAAGCUCCAAAGGUGUCAACAGUCACACACAUAGUCCGGGAAGAGAUUGGAACGGACGACGUUUUUCUGCUUGGGGAGCACAUUGAGGAGACACAGUUUGGGAUUGACAGCCAUCAUUCCAGCUUGUUGUCAUUGGUUGUGUCUGUGUUUCUCAACAUAAGGCUCCACCACGGUGCCAAACUGACCACCCUUGAACUGCAAAAAGGUAGCACAAGGAAAAAAAUGAGCAAAACAGUCCUCUUUCAGGGGUUUUAGCUCUAAAACCUCUGUGCGAUACUUUGUACAUUUGUAAAUAUGGUUUGAGAUGAGGAUGAUGUGUUCAUAUGUUAACUUGAGAAUAUACAUUACAUUUUAUUCUCCAUGUGCUUUGUACAGCCUUAAAAGCUUCUCUUUUUCUCUGUGUAGUAAAUCAGUUCUCUGCAUGACUGUUGUAUACAUUUUCCAUUUCUCUGGUAUAGAUCUUUAAUCUACAUUUGUAUGAAUGAUAUUGAUACGCUGUA